rnacentral:tRNA from 13 species
GGCGGCGUAGCUCAGCUGGCUAGAGCGUACGGUUCAUACCCGUAAGGUCGGGGGUUCGAUUCCCUCCGCCGCUACCA